UUAAAUGGCCGCGGUUUUUUGACCGUGCAAAAGUAGCAUAAUCAUUAGUUUCUUGGUUGGAGACUGGAAUGAAUGGUUUGACGAGAAAUUGACUGUCUCUUAAUAAUUUUUAGAAUUUAACUUUUAAGUUAAAGGCUUAAAUAUUUCUUUUGGACGAGAAGACCCUAUAGAGCUUUACAUUUAUAAAUUAAUUUUUAUUAUAUAGAUGAUUUCUUAAUAUUAAUUUGUUUUGUUUGGUUGGGGUGACUUGAAGAAUAAAUAAACUCUUCAUUAUUAAAUCAUUGAUUUAUGUUUAUUUGAUCCAUAAUUUUUGAUUAUAAGAUUAAGUUACCUUAGGGAUAACAGCGUAAUCAUUUUUGAGAGUUCUUAUUGAUAAAGUGGAUUGCGACCUCGAUGUUGGAUUAAGAUUAAUUUCGGGUGUAGUA
rnacentral:rRNA from 1 species